UCCGUAGGCGGGCAAUUAAGUCAGAGGUGAAAUCCCACAGCUCAACUGUGGAACUGCCUUUGAUACUGGUUGUCUUGAGUUAUAGUGAAGUAGAUAGAAUAUGUGGUGUAGCGGUGAAAUGCAUAGAUAUUACAUAGAAUACCGAUUGCGAAGGCAGUCUACUAACUGUAUACUGACGCUAAUGGACGAAAGCGUGGGGAGCGAACAGGAUUAGAUACCCUGGUAGUCC
rnacentral:rRNA from 1 species